rnacentral:rRNA from 1 species
UACGUAGGGUGCAAGCAUUAAUCGGAAUUAUUGGGCGUAAAGGGCGCGUAGGCGGAUUUGUAAGUCAGAUGUGAAAUUCCGGGGCUCAACCUCGGAGCUGCAUUUGAAACUGUGAAUCUAGAGGGUUGGCGGAGAAAACGGAAUUCCACGUGUAGCGGUGAAAUGCGUAGAUAUGUGGAAGAACACCUGUGGCGAAAGCGGCUCACUGGACCAUUACUGACGCUGAUGCACGAAA